GAACGCACAUUGCACUCCUUUGGAGUAUGCCUGUUUGAGAAUCUAUAGUAUUUAUUUCUGGGUUACUUUUAUUAGUACUCUGAAGAUUUGAGAUGUCUCCCCGCAAGGGCGAGUAUCUUUACAAUUAUAGCCUCUUUUGUGGUAAAUUAACUCUGCAGAACAGUAUUUGAAUGGAACCUUGGUUUCUCAUAAUGCCCAAUACGCAGACUUACCUAUUGAAAAGGGGGUCCAUAACCUAAAGUCUGGCGUUAAAACCAGACUUGAACCAUGGUCUCAAAUCAGGUAGGAAGACCCGCUGAACUUAAG
rnacentral:misc_RNA from 1 species